rnacentral:rRNA from 1 species
GGGCAAAGUGAUAGGGAGGUGCUCCGCGAACUGAAGAGCUUCCUGCAGGCGCAAAACCCGAUCAACCGUGGCGCCUAUGACACUUGGUCGGAGGCCGAGGUCUCGCCGUGCUGUCUCCAAGGGGUUGGGUGUGACGCGGCCGGCCGUGUCAGUUAUCUCGACCUCUCGAGUUCUAGCAUCACCAGUCCGUCCUUCGGUAAGUUUUCAUGUCUCACCCGGCUCACGCACCUCGAUCUCUCAGCAAACAGUAUUACUGGCCAAUUGCAUCCAGAUCUCAAGCAUUGUCGGGGUCUCCAGUACCUCAACUUAUCAAGCAACCUCAUCGGUGGCGCCCUUGAUGUGUCCACCCUGACCAACCUACGCAUACUGGAUCUAUCCCAUAAUCGGUUCCAGGGCGACAUUAGGACAAACUUCCCGUCCAUCUACCACAACCUCAGUGUUAUUGCUGUCUCUGGCAACAACCUUACAGGCAGGAUAAGUGGGCUAUUCAGUGGCUGCUCCAAGCUCAGUGAUGUUGAUCUGAGCUGGAACCAAUUCACCGGAAAAGCUGUAUGGAAAGGGAUUGAAAGGCUUACACGGUUCACAGCCGCAGCAAACAACCUCACAGGGAGCAUUCCUUCGAGCACGUUUCCUAAGGGGUGCAAGCUGCAAUCUGUGGAUAUCUCCAGCAACCAGCUGUCUGGCAGUUUCCCAAAUUCAAUUGCCAAUUGCUCAAGCUUGAAAGCCAUGUCCCUGUGGAACAAUAGCUUUGGUGGAUCUAUACCACCAGGAAUUGGCUCGAUUGCGGGACUCGAAGAGCUGGGUCUCUCGAGCAACCAGUUCCAUCACAGGAUACCACUUGAGCUGAUGAAUUGCACCAACCUAAAAUUUCUGGAGAUCAGUCAGAAUACCUUUGGAGGGGAGGUGCAACAGGUCCUUGGAAAAUCAACUAGCCUGAAGAGCCUUGUGCUUCAAGGGAAUAAUUAUAGUGGGGGCACUAUCUCCUCUGGCAUUCUACAGUUGCCAAAUCUCAUCUAUCUUGACCUCAACUUUAACAAAUUCUCCGGCAAGCUGCCUAGCAAAAUCGCUAGCAUGACAAGCAUCGAAUCCCUCGAGCUUGCAAAUAAUAACCUCUCUGGUAAAAUCCCAACAUCAUAUGGUCGGCUUCUGAGGCUCCAAGCAUUGGGCUUGUUGUACAAGAACCUCUCCGGCGAGAUCCCAUGA